UACGGGGGGGGCAAGCGUUGUUCGGAAUUACUGGGCGUAAAGGGCUCGUAGGUGGCCAACUAAGUCAGACGUGAAAUCCCUCGGCUUAACCGGGGAACUGCGUCUGAUACUGGAUGGCUUGAGUUUGGGAGAGGGACGCGGAAUUCCAGGUGUAGCGGUGAAAUGACGUAGAUAUCAAGCGGAACACCGGUGGCGAAGGCGGCCUUCUGGACAAUGACUGACGCUAAAACACGAAAGCGUGGGGAGCAAACAGG
rnacentral:rRNA from 1 species